AAUACUCGGAUCGCUAUCGGAAUUGGCUGACGUGUGUUAUUAAUACCGCAAGGUUAUGAUAGCGGUACGAUAUGUGUCGCUGACUCGUCUAGGAAUAGCCCCUCUGAAUUAUUUUUCAGCAAGUAAUGCCGAAAAUCUGAACAAAACAGGCAACGCCGAGCAGGAUUCUGUUGAAGGGCUGAACACAUCAAACCCGCAGGUGUUGUGUGGAAUCGGGGUGUUCGAAAAUAGCGCACCAGAUGAACAGGAAGUAGGAGAACCAGAGCCUUUGGAAGCACAACCAGAGGCCGUUUACGCUCUGAGUGUCGCUCACGCCAAUGGUGAUGGCGAUGUGCUGGAAUACGAUCCAGAUGUGCUAGAAGGCGACAGUGAUGUGCUCCAUGGGGGAACCGAUGUGAUACAUGGCGAUGCUGAUGUGCUGCAUGGCGAUGCGCUAGAAUAUAUGGCUGGAUAUAUAAUUGGUGAGCACGAAGACACCAGUAACGCAACUUUUACGUGGGUCGAUCAGGUGUCGAAAGGGUACCUUGAAAAGCCUUCACCCCUUUUUAUAGACCGUAUUAGGAGCUUGGAGUCGGUAUUCCUUGCUGUUAAUUUACAGGAAAUAGCGCACUGGAAAAAUAUAAAGCAGCGCCUUCUGAACAAAGCAGCUAAUGUAGACGUUCCAGACAGCGUCAAGCAGUUUUUCUUUAAAUGCCGGAUACUGUUUAGAGUGCGCCACCUAAAUAAAUUGAUUGUGAAGAAAUUGAAAGUGAAGAAGGCAAAGCAAAGGCUGGUACCCUACAAAAAGUUAAAUAAAAUAACUCUUUAAACUGAAAUUGUAUCCAAUUGAAAUUGAGCAGGCACACGUCUUAGUACAAGCUUCCAGGCAUUAAACACAACUUCACUGCGUCAAUGAACCAGCUAUCGCAACGCCAACUGCAUAUUUGCAACGUACCUGUAAACUUACAUCUUAAAGGCACAUACUCUCGGUCACGUGUUAAACAUUGUUUCACCACCUCCUGGCGAGGUAGAAACGCCACCGCUGAUUGUGUCGGUUAGUCACAGCAAAGAUGAGAAAUUCAUCAGCACACCGACAUCAUCCCCACUCAAAGAAUAGGACCUGAAAAUGUCAGCCGGAAUUAAAAUCCAUGGCAACGCUUGUUGGUACUUGGGAUUUCAAACAGAAUAUUGAAACCAGGCGGCAUUUGGGUGAAUUUGGGCCUACUACUUUAUCAUUUCAACUAUAUACGGGGCGAGAAAAUGGUUGGCUUUGAUUUUCUUCGUAGCCAAACAGGCGUACGCACUAAAUAAUCAUAAAACCCACAAUCCAUGCUUAAAAGUGAAUAUGAGAGCUUAUUUUGGAUUUGUCGCAAGCCAGAAAAUCCAGUUGACCGCAUUAACGAUUAAUCGAAUUGCGAUGAUGAAUCUUAUGAGCUCGUUGAUGGAGACGUUGGCAGUAGCAGCAACAAUAGUCACUAUGAAGAUAACUACAGCAAUGGUUACAAAUACGCAUACCAACAUCAAUAGUAUUGGCGGCAAAAGGCGCAAGGUAUUAUCUUGCCUAACACUUAACUAUUAGUCAUUUUGCAAUCCUAGUUAUUUGUUUUUUGACACACGCAUAACAAAUUCUUCCACAUCCCAGUAUGCAUAUGUAAAUCAGUAUGUAUGACUAUGUGUUUAUAAAAACACAACUCUCUUAAUAACAACAAAGUUGUACGAAUAAUAUGCUCUCUUUUAUGAUCGAGUAGCAUAAAUAUUGAAUAUUAGGCAUAUGAAAUUGAAUUCUUUAACAUGGAAUAUGUUUUUAAGUUUAAUUAAAGCAUUAUGCAAAAGCAUAAAACACAUGUUGUAAUUUUAAGCAAAGUAUUACCGGAACCAGAACUAUGAUUUCAGAAUCUACAAAGUCGAAAAAUAGUUGGUAGAACACACUUUUCACGAAAUUAAUGAAAUAAAAUUUUUACCUGUAUUGAAAUUAAUUGCAAGCAAUUUUUUAAUU
rnacentral:lncRNA from 1 species